AUUGAACGCUGGCGGCAGGCCUAACACAUGCAAGUCGAGCGGAUGAAGGGAGCUUGCUCCUGGAUUCAGCGGCGGACGGGUGAGUAAUGCCUAGGAAUCUGCCUGGUAGUGGGGGAUAACGUCCGGAAACGGGCGCUAAUACCGCAUACGUCCUGAGGGAGAAAGUGGGGGAUCUUCGGACCUCACGCUAUCAGAUGAGCCUAGGUCGGAUUAGCUAGUUGGUGGGGUAAAGGCCUACCAAGGCGACGCUCCGUAACUGGUCUGAGAGGAUGAUCAGUCACACUGGAACUGAGACACGGUCCAGACUCCUACGGGAGGCAGCAGUGGGGAAUAUUGGACAAUGGGCGAAAGCCUGAUCCAGCCAUGCCGCGUGUGUGAAGAAGGUCUUCGGAUUGUAAAGCACUUUAAGUUGGGAGGAAGGGCAGUAAGUUAAUACCUUGCUGUUUUGACGUUACCAACAGAAUAAGCACCGGCUAACUUCGCG
rnacentral:rRNA from 1 species